AGAGUUUGAUCAUGGCUCAGGAUUAACGCUGGCGGUAUGCCUAACACAUGCAAGUCGAACGGAAUACUCGAAAAGAGAAUCUCACACUAGUGAGAGGUUCUCCAACCGAGUAUUUAGUGGCGGACGGGUGAGUAACACGUUGGAACCUGCCCCGAAGUGGGGAAUAACUGCUCGAAAGAGUAGCUAAUACCCCAUAGUAUCCGGUUUAUCCGGAUUAAAGAUUUAUCGCUUCGGGAGGGGCCUGCGUCUGAUUAGCUUGUUGGUGGGGUAAAAGCUCACCAAGGCGACGAUCAGUAGCUGGUUCGAGAGGAUGACCAGCCACACUGGGACUGAGAUACGGCCCAGACUCCUACGGGAGGCAGCAGUGAGGAAUCUUCCACAAUGGACGAAAGUCUGAUGGAGCAAUACCGCGUGCAGGACGACGCUUUUCGGAGUGUAAACUGCUUUUGUCGUCGAAGACUAUGACUGUAGACGAAGAAUAAGGACCGGCUAACUACGUG
rnacentral:rRNA from 1 species